rnacentral:misc_RNA from 1 species
ACCUACUGUUUAAUUUUGAGGGUUCGUUUUUACGAAUACUCAAAAUUAGCACUCUUAGCACUUUGAAAACUGCAUAUAUAUUUAGUGAUAUGACAUCUAAUUUGUAAUAUAUAAAGCUGAUAACUUUUUAAAAUUAUCGAAGUUGAUAGCUUCUAAUCUAUCAAACCUUUUUAACUGGUCAA